rnacentral:rRNA from 1 species
GACGAACGCUGGCGGCGUGCUUAACACAUGCAAGUCGAACGGAAAGGCCCUGCUUUUGUGGGGUGCUCGAGUGGCGAACGGGUGCGUAACACGUGAGUAACCUGCCCUUGACUUUGGGAUAACUUCAGGAAACUGGGGCUACUACCGGAUAGGAGCUCCUGCUGCAUGGUGGGGGUUGGAAAGUUUCGGCGGUUGGGGAUGGACUCGCGGCUUAUCAGCUUGUUGGUGGGGUAGUGGCUUACCAAGGCUUUGACGGGUAGCCGGCCUGAGAGGGUGACCGGCCACAAUGGGACUGAGAGACGGCCCAGACUCGUACGGGAGGCAGCAGUGGGGAAUAUUGCACAAUGGGCGGAAGCCUGAUGCAGCAACGCCGCGGGCGGGAUGACGGCCUUCGGGUUGUAAACCGCUUUCGCCUGUGACGAAGCGUGAGUGACGGUAAUGGGUAAAGAAGCACCGGCUAACUACGUG